GAUGAACGCUGGCGGCGUGCCUAAUACAUGCAAGUCGAGCGAACAGACGAGGAGCUUGCUCCUCUGACGUUAGCGGCGGACGGGUGAGUAACACGUGGAUAACCUACCUAUAAGACUGGGAUAACUUCGGGAAACCGGAGCUAAUACCGGAUAACAUGUUGAACCGCAUGGUUUAACAGUGAAAGACGGUCUUGCUGUCACUUAUAGAUGGAUCCGCGCCGCAUUAGCUAGUUGGUAAGGUAACGGCUUACCAAGGCAACGAUGCGUAGCCGACCUGAGAGGGUGAUCGGCCACACUGGAACUGAGACACGGUCCAGACUCCUACGGGAGGCAGCAGUAGGGAAUCUUCCGCAAGGGGCGAAAGCCUGACGGAGCAACGCCGCGUGAGUGAAGAAGGUCUUCGGAUCGUAAAACUCUGUUAUUAGGGAAGAACAAAUGUGUAAGUAACUAUGCACGUCUUGACGGUACCUAAUCAGAAAGCCACGGCUAACUACGUG
rnacentral:rRNA from 1 species